UUAACUGGUACUUCUCUUGCCUCGAAUUUUCAUGUCUUUGAAAUCAAUUGUGUUUUAGGUUUGAUUGAUUUUCUGGUUAAAAUGGAUUUAAGGAUUGGGGACGCUGCCGCCCCAUCGUGGACACCUCCAAUUUAUUCUUUUUGUCCAUUUGGAGCAGUUGAGGCUUGAGGAAUCUGGAUAAUAGAAGUUGGAGAAGGGAAAGUUGCUGGGUUAGUUUGAAAUCGGAAAUUGGUUGCUGACAUUAAAAGGAUGAAUGACUUUGCUGCAGAUCUUCGAAUGUUUGCUUUGAAGUACUUUUACCAGGUACAUUGACUACCCUUGUUUUUGGGGGAUUAUGUUGAUCGGGACAGCACAGCUUGGAGACAAUAACUCUACUCCUUGCACUCAAGGC